CCUUUGGGUGAUGAAGAGAUGGUCUCGUACAUCCUUACUAAUCUCGAUGUCAACUACAACUCGAUCGUGUCAGCCAUCAUGGCACAAGUUGAACUAGUUUCAAUCAAUGAAUUGUAUGCCCAACUCCUAAGCUUUGAAG